rnacentral:tRNA from 1 species
GGAGGGUUACCGAAGUGGUCAUAACGGGGCGGUCUUGAAAACCGUUAGAGCGAGAGCUCACAGGGGUUCGAGUCCCUUACCCUCCGCCA